ACGUAUGGAGCAAGCGUUAUCCGGAUUUACUGGGUGUAAAGGGAGCGUAGGCGGUCCUGCAAGUCUGAUGUGAAAACCCGGGGCUCAACCCCGGGACUGCAUUGGAAACUGUAGGACUAGAGUGUCGGAGGGGUAAGUGGAAUUCCUAGUGUAGCGGUGAAAUGCGUAGAUAUUAGGAGGAACACCAGUGGCGAAGGCGGCUUACUGGACGACCACUGACGCUGAGGCUCGAAAGCGUGGGGAGCAAACAG
rnacentral:rRNA from 1 species